AUCAACGCUGGCGGCGCGCCUAACACAUGCAAGUCGCACGAGAAAGUGGAGGCAAUCCAUGAGUAAAGUGGCGUACGGGUGAGUAACACGUGGAUCAUCUACCUCUUAGUGGGGAAUACCCCUGGGAAACCGGGGACUAAUACCGCAUAAGCUCCGGGAAGAGGGAAAGCAGCAAUGCGCUGAGAGAGGAGUCCGCGGCCGAUUAGCUAGUUGGCAGGGGUAAUAGCCUACCAAGGCAGAGAUCGGUAGCCGGCCUGAGAGGGCACACGGCCACACUGGCACUGAAACUACGGGCCAGACUCCUACGGGAGGCAGCAGUGGGGAAUCUUGCACAAUGGGGAAACUCUGAUGCAGCGACGCCGCGUGAGCGAUGAAGCCCUUCGGGGUGUAAAGCUCUUUCGUCAGGGAAGAUAAUGACGGUACCCUGGAGAAGCAGCUGCGGCUAACUACGUGCCAGCAGCCGCGGUAAUACGUAGGCAGCAAGCGUUGUUCGGAGUUACUGGGCGUAAGAGGUGUGUAGGCGGUGUCUUUAAGUUUGUUGUGAAAUCUCCCGGCUCUAACUGGGAGGGUGCGGCCGGAAUACUGAGGACUCGAUAGCGGGGGAGAGGUAAGGUGGAAUUCCUGGUGUAGCGGUGAAAUGCGUAGAUAUCAGGAGGAACACCUGUGGUGUAGACAGCUUUCUGGACACGUACUGACGCUGAGACACGAAAGCGUGGGUAGCAAACAGGAUUAGAUACCCUGGUAGUCCACGCCCUAAACGAUGCAUAUUGGUGUGGGUCAUUCAUUUGGAUCCGUGCCGGAGCUAACGCGUUAAGUAUGCCGCCUGGGGGGUACGGUCGCAAGGCUGAAACUCAAAGGAAUUGACGGGGGCCCGCACAAGCGGUGGAGCAUGUGGUUCAAUUCGACGCAACGCGAAGAACCUUACCUGGGCUCGAACGGUUCGGACCGUCCUGGAAACAGCGCUUACCCUCCCGCAAGGAGGUACCGGAGUCGAGGUGCUGCAUGGCUGUCGUCAGCUCGUGUCGUGAGAUGUUGGGUUAAGUCCCGCAACGAGCGCAACCCUUGUCCUGUGUUGCCAUCAUUCAGUUAGGGAAGCACUCGCAGGAGACCGCCAGCGAUAAGUUGGAGGAAGGUGGGGAUGACUGUCAAGUCCUCAUGGCCUUUAUGUCCAGGGCUACACACGUGCUACAAUGGACGGUACAAAGCGCUGCAAACCCGCGAGGGGGAGCCAAUCGCAAAAAAACCGUUCUCAGUUCGGAUUGCAGGCUGCAACUCGCCUGCAGUGAAGCUGGAAUCGCUAGUAAUGGCAGUAUCAGCACGCUGCCGUGAAUACGUUCCCGGGCCUUGUACACACCGCCCGUCACAUCACGAAAGUGGAUUGUACUAGAAGUCCCUGACCCUCAAGGGAGCACGGCCCAAGGUAUGAUCCAUGAUUGGGGUG
rnacentral:rRNA from 1 species